rnacentral:rRNA from 1 species
GACGAACGCUGGCGGCGCGCUUUAACACAUGCAAGUCGAACGAGAGCGUAGAGAAAGCUUGCUUUUUCUACAAUCUAGUGGCAAACGGGUGAGUAACGCGUAGACAACCUGCCCUACGGAUGGGGACAACAGCUGGAAACGGCUUGCUAAUACCGAAUACGUUCCGGAAGUCGCAUGACUAUCGGAAGAAAGGAUGGCCUCUAUUUAUAAGCUAUCGCCGGAGGAGGGGUUUGCGUCUGAUUAGCUAGUUGGAGGGGUAACGGCCCACCAAGGCGACGAUCAGUAGCCGGUCUGAGAGGAUGAACGGCCACAUUGGAACUGAGACACGGUCCAGACUCCUACGGGAGGCAGCAGUGGGGAAUCUUCCGCAAUGGGCGAAAGCCUGACGGAGCAACGCCGCGUGAGUGAAGACGGCCUUCGGGUUGUAAAGCUCUGUUAUACGGGACGAAUAAUCUUGUGGUUAAUACCCAUGAGAAGUGACGGUACCGUAAGAGAAAGCCCG